rnacentral:rRNA from 1 species
UACGUAGGGGGCAAGCGUUGUCCGGAUUUAUUGGGCGUAAAGAGCGUGUAGGCGGCUAGAUAGGUCCGUUGUGAAAACUCGAGGCUCAACCUCGAGACGUCGAUGGAAACCAUCUGGCUAGAGUCCGGAAGAGGAGAGUGGAAUUCCUGGUGUAGCGGUGAAAUGCGCAGAUAUCAGGAAGAACACCCGUGGCGAAGGCGGCUCUCUGGUACGUGACUGACGCUGAGACGCGAAAGCUAGGGGAGCGAACAGG